rnacentral:rRNA from 1 species
AAUGAACGCUGGCGGCGUGGAUUAGGCAUGCAAGUCGAACGCGAAAGUUCCCUUCGGGGAGCGAGUAGAGUGGCGAAAGGGUGAGUAAUGCUUGGAUGACCUGCCCUCGAGACGGGGACAACAGUUCGAAAGGACUGCUAAUACCCGAUAGUCCGGUUUAGAUGCGUCUAGAUCGGUAAAUGGUGCUUCCGCUCGAGGAGGGGUUCAAGUCCUAUCAGCUUGUUGGUGAGGUAACGGCUCACCAAGGCGAUGACGGGUAGCCGGACUGAGAGGUUGGCCGGCCACAUGGGAACUGAGACACUGUCCUGACUCCUACGGGAGGCUGCAGUCGAGAAUCUUCUGCAAUGGGCGAAAGCCUGACGGAGCGACGCCGCGUGGUGGAUGAAGGCCCUUGGGUUGUAAACACCUGUCAGAGGGGAUGAAAUCAUGGUUGGCAAUCCUUCCAUGUUGACAGAGCCUCAGAGGAAGCACGGGCUAAGUACGUGCCAG